rnacentral:rRNA from 1 species
UACGUAGGCAGCGAGCGUUGUUCGGAGUUACUGGGCGUAAAGAGUGCGUAGGCGGUUUUCUAAGUUUGGUGUGAAAUCUCCCGGCUUAACUGGGAGGGUGCGCCGAAAACUGGAAGGCUUGAGUAUGGGAGAGGUAAGCGGAAUUCCUGGUGUAGCGGUGAAAUGCGUAGAUAUCAGGAGGAACACCUGCGGUGUAGACGGCUUACUGGACCAUAACUGACGCUGAGGAGCGAAAGCCAGGGGAGCAAACGGG